CAGCCGCCGCGGUAAUACGAAGGGGGCUAGCGUUGUUCGGAUUUACUGGGCGUAAAGCGCACGUAGGCGGAUCGAUCAGUCAGGGGUGAAAUCCUGGAGCUCAACUCCAGAACUGCCUUUGAUAUUGUCGAUCUCGAGUCCGGAAGAGGUGAGUGGAACUCCUAGUGUAGAGGUGAAAUUCGUAGAUAUUCGGAAGAACACCAGUGGCGAAGGCGGCUCACUGGACGACUGUUGACGCUGAGGUACGAAAGCGUGGGGAGCAAACAGGAUUAGAUACCCCUGUAGUCCCUGUCUCUUAUAC
rnacentral:rRNA from 1 species